GGUUACAACAGUCUUCCUCUUAGAGGAAAUGAAGACAAGGUUCUGAGGGGUGAAAUAUAGAUGUAAAACCUGGCCGGGCACAUUGGCUCAUGCCUGUAAUCCAAGCACUUUGGGAGGCUGAGGCGGGAGGAUUGAUUGAGGCCAGGAGUUUGAGACCAGCCUGGGCAACACAUUUCCUCUAUCUCACUGUGAACGAAGAGGAUCAGGUUUCCACCCAACUAGACAGCCAGACAGAGAAACCUCUUUUCAGAACAUUGUACUGAAUAUCUACUAUGUGCUAGUCAUUGGACUUGCAAACACGAGCAAGACAGAGUCCCUGCCCUCCAGAACCCUCCCUGAUUUCCAGAAGCUCCUGAACCUUUUCUGCCUUCUGGAACCUUCCCUGCCUUUCAGAACCUUCUGUGCUUCCAGAAGCUCACUAGUACCUUUCUCUUUCCAGUGCAUUCCUAGUGCUUAUCUUAUAGUAGAAUUUCAUUAGGUUAAUUCACUUAAUAACUCUAGAGAAUUUUCCAUGUCAUAUAUACUGUUCUUGGCUCGGGAAGUUCUUAUUCAUCUCCACGUGUGAUAAGACUUUGGUGAAUAAAUGCACCAUUUUUAUUCCAUGGAUAUUUAUUUUGUUGUGUUUCCUAAUUUUUGUCAAGAAAUGGAAACAGCAGCAAUGAAAUUGGCUCUUAUCUUUUUGGAUCCUUAAGAAAUAGGUGCCUUUUGAAGAAUCCGGGGAGAAGUAACGCAAGACCCCAGAAGUAUGCCAACAUAUAAAACCCCAAGUCAAAGGUCAAACCAUGCAUUUGAUCCCUCAAGUCCCCUGCUUGACCCUCUUCCAAGUGUACUUUCCUUCCUUUCAUUCCUGCUCUAAAGCUUUUUAAUCAACUUUCACUCCUGCUCCAAAAAAAAAAAAAAGAAAUAGGUGUUUUGUUUUUUUUUUUUUGAGUUGGAGUCUCACUGUUACCCAGGCUGUAGUGCAGUGAUGCGAUCUCAGCUCACUGCAACCUCUGCCUCCCAUGUUCAAGCGAUUCUCCUGCCUCAGUCUCCCAAGUAGCUGGGAUUACAGGCGCCCACUACCAUGCUUGGCUAAUUUUUGUAUUUUU